rnacentral:rRNA from 1 species
AGAGUUUGAUCCUGGCUCAGGACGAACGCUGGCGGCGUGCUUAACACAUGCAAGUCGAACGGAAAGGCCCUUCGGGGUACUCGAGUGGCGAACGGGUGAGUAACACGUGGGUGAUCUGCCCUGCACUUUGGGAUAAGCCUGGGAAACUGGGUCUAAUACCGAAUAGGACCACGCGCUUCAUGGUGUGUGGUGGAAAGCUUUUGCGGUGUGGGAUGGGCCCGCGGCCUAUCAGCUUGUUGGUGGGGUAAUGGCCUACCAAGGCGACGACGGGUAGCCGGCCUGAGAGGGUGACCGGCCACACUGGGACUGAGAUACGGCCCAGACUCCUACGGGAGGCAGCAGUGGGGAAUAUUGCACAAUGGGCGCAAGCCUGAUGCAGCGACGCCGCGUGAGGGAUGACGGCCUUCGGGUUGUAAACCUCUUUCAAUAGGGACGAAGCGCAAGUGACGGUACCUAUAGAAGAAGCACCGGCCAACUACGUGCCAGCAGCCGCGGUAAUACGUAGGGUGCGAGCGUUGUCCGGAAUUACUGGGCGUAAAGAGCUCGUAGGUGGUUUGUCGCGUUGUUCGUGAAAUCUCACGGCUUAACUGUGAGCGUGCGGGCGAUACGGGCAGACUUGAGUACUGCAGGGGAGACUGGAAUUCCUGGUGUAGCGGUGGAAUGCGCAGAUAUCAGGAGGAACACCGGUGGCGAAGGCGGGUCUCUGGGCAGUAACUGACGCUGAGGAGCGAAAGCGUGGGGAGCGAACAGGAUUAGAUACCCUGGUAGUCC